GGUUGUUCACAACCUAUUGUGCGUGUUCUCGGCACAACACAAUAAGAUCACGCAGUCAGGGUGACCGUUUUCGUAUUUAAACGUGCCCGACGUUCGGCUAUCCACUUCAGUCUUUGAGUGAAGACGUUUUAUAAUUAGCCAGCCGUCUUGUUAAGCACUUCAUACCUACUUAUAAUGUUUCUCCUAGUCGUCUUCCUGUUAGCAGCAGGAACCACAGCUUCCGCUGUGCCAAGUGGGUCAUUGUUCCAGCAUCCGGCUGCCAGAAAACCAGUUGCCACGUUCCACGAUCUGGAAGCAGCAGUGCCUGUCCAACACGGAACAGCCAGUCUUGCAGGAUCACGAGACGGAAAAUCAUUUGUCUGUGCGAGAUUGUGGAGUGAACCCAACUACACCGGGGGCUGGUAUGAGUUCCUGAAAGGCGCCAAUAUAAAUUUUGGUGCUGGUGGCAGUGAUGUGAUGUCCUCAGCAUGGGUGCAAUAUGGAUGCUCGCUGCAACUGUUCUCCUUGAACAGUUUCCAGGGUACUAGCUGGACCUUUACAUCGUCUGCACCAGACCGUGGCUACUUUACAUUUCCCGGUAAUGCAUGGGAUAACAACAGUCGUUCUGGAAAGUGCACUUGCGCGUACUGAAAUACCGUGCUUGCAUUUAGUGGAAUGUAGCUGCUCAUCCUGUGAAAUAUUUUAAUUUUCUUUAAAUAUUUCUCUUGACUGGAUGUUUUUCUGGUUCAGUUCGCCACUGUGCACUUCUUAUUUGCUGGGGCAGAGUACGCUUUUGCUCAGGGCAAAUCAAAUCUAAUAAUUAAAUUUAAUUUUUAAAAAAAUUAAUUCGGUGUGAAAGCACUUUUUUUGUCUUGGCGCAUUUUUCGGCAGAGUUUGCAAAGUGAAGUAGUUUUGGUGGCUCACCGGCAUUUCGUCGACUAAUACUUCGUCAUAGAGGCGGCAAACCGUACGGUGCGGUCAAACCGUACAUAACCGCAUAGGAAACGGCUACGGUAAAUCGGUGAGAUCAUUCUUUAUUGUCUUAGUUGUUAGCAACUAAUUUAAAUAUCACACACGAAAAACAUUAUAACACAAAGUAAAUAGCAUUUAAACCAUCAGAACGUGGAACAGUGGACGUCACAGACAGCGCACUCCCGCGCUGUAUUUAAAUGCUAAGACGUUGCAUCGUAAGAACCAAAAAACCGAAUAAAUCUAAGAAAACUGAGACAGUUUAGCAUAACGGUUGGUCGACUUUGUGACGGGUCGUCAUCAAGGGCGUUCGAUAAGGUUUUGGUCGACAAAAUGGCGGGUCACCACUUUAGGUGUACUAAGUUGUAGUAGGUAAUUCGCCAAUUGGUAAAUCACUUUCCCAACAAAAUAUCACUUUCGAUCAAAGCAGAAUCAUUUGCCGACAAAGCCAAAGCUUGCGAUUAAUACAGAGCAAGCUUGCUACCAUCGGAGUUUUCCUAACGAAGCUUUUUAGUGGCAGCUUUCACCUUGCGCGUUGGCGACUCUGUUCUCAUGGUAAUAGACUACGGGGUACCGGAAAGUUCCAGACAUUUUUCGCGUACAUUACUUGUAUCUUCGCAUGCAUGCGUGAGGGUACUCAGCGUAGCCGGUAUUCUUCCCUCAAGCUGCACUUGUCGUCGUCGGGAAAUCGUGGCAUAACCAGCAAAAGAGUCUGUCAGCGACUUGUUCUGGAUUUCAUAUCUGUUCACUGAGCUCAUAAUUUUUUGAGAAGUACAGCAUAACAGACACAAGGUUUCAGGAGUCUACAGGUAACUAGAGUAGAAAUACGGUAAAAUCGUGUUAUCGCUUAUCGAGCUGUUUACUGUGUACAUAAAUCUAUUUAGUACGUUUAGCAAACGGCAACGCCUUGCGUUAUCAUGAUCUAAAUAAAAAAUCCUUUACAUGAUCUAAAUAACUAUGUUUAUUUGGAAAACAGUCAGUUAACAUAACAGCAUGUCAGCGCUGCGAAGCUCGACAGAAUUGCGUCCAUAAUUGCGAAGACAGAAGCGCUCCAUAUUUUGCGCCCAUUUUUGCUAUCAGGCGGGUAACUUCCGGACCCAAUGGUUCAGAAUUUCGAACCCAGAGGGCACUAAAAGGAGUUUCGGGUGAUGAUCCCGAACCCCCAGUUCCGUUAUACAGCAACUAUUAGUCGUAUCCUAUUUAAUUUACGCUAGCUCACUAACGGUUCAUGAAACCUGUUGAAUACAACGAUGUCGGCGCCGGUUUAUAUAAAUGGUGUCGUUUUUGUACUGUAAUGUCGAGAUUAAUUGGUCAAAUCAAAGCCACAAUACACCAAUUUGAAGAAGAAAAAAAUUCGUUAAUUAAAUGAUAAUUUUGAUGAUAACGUUGCUAUAUUAUUAUGUUUCUCAUGCAGUCACGCUGAAGUACUGAGGUUUCUUUUCACCGUGAUAUGCUAAGAGUGAUUGCUCUAUUAUGAGCUCUGUGUUAUAUAUACAAAGCUAACUGAGCCGUUUUUUCGGCCAACAUCUCCUCCUACACCGUUCGACACUAAUUUUUACACGAUAGCUCAAAAAAUGCCUAAAACCAUGUAGUUUGCGGCAACGACUUUCGUUUUUCGAUCUUUUCAUCCUCCGAUUUACGAAACGGCUCCAAAGCGAAUUUCGCUGAUAGGUCGAUCAUUAGAAAGUAACAGAGGAUUGGCGGAAAUGCGUAACUUUCGAACCUAAACCGCUGACUCAUGGCAUAUGUACGGAACACAUGUAUACUAUAAUUAUGCAUAUUGUUAAGCCAGAGGGCAUACAUUUAGCAAAUACACACUGACACACACAUACGUGCUCGGUUUGUCCACUCGGUUGGUUCAUUCUACGGGAAUGCAAGUUUUGAAUGCAGCAGAUGAAAAUAAUUAUUAUUUUGAAACAGUUACUCUUACACCGUUCAAUACUUAUUUUUACACGAUAGCUCGAAAAGCGCCUAAAAGCAUGUAGUUUGCGUCAACGACUUUUGUUUUUCGAUCAUUUCGUCCUCCGACUGACAAAACGCAUACGAAACGAAUGUCGCUGAUUGGCUUAUCGAAUAAAAAAGGAUUGGCGGAAAUGCGAAACGUUUCGAACGAAAACCGCUGACUAACAGCAUGCGGUACAACGACAUUUAGGAGCCAAAGAGCACUAUACCGUUAGUUAAUACUGUUAAUAUUGUGGAUAUAGUGGAAAUACAGAAAUGCAAAAAGGCGUAACGUAAAACAGACUGAUUGAUGUGACACUAGCGUAAGGGGUAGCCCGGUUAUGUACACGUAGUCAUGUACAUAUUUGUAAAAAUAUGUAUUAUUUAUAUACAGAGCUAACUUGGCCGUUUUUCUUCAUUUUUCUCCUAUCCUUUCGGCGCUGAUUUUCCUACGAUAGCUUAAAAAGCGCUUAAAUCGUGUUAUUUGUCCUUUUGACUUUAGUUUUUUUAUCUUCUCGUCAUUCGAAUCAGAAAGCAUGACCAAGACGAAUUUCGCUGACUGGCUUAACAUAAGGUAACUAAUAGCUGAUUAGCGGAAAUGUAUAACUGAUGAGAGAUAAGGGAAGGGAUUUUCGCCGAUCAGAUAAAAAUACAGGGAUUUUCGCCGGUCAGGUAGAAGUAUAGGGAUUUCCGCCGGUCAGACAGAAGUACAGGGAUUUUCGCCGGUCAGAUAGAAAUGCAGGGAUUAUCGCCGGUCAGAUAGAAAUGCAGGGAUUAUCGCCGCUUAGAUAGAAGUACAGGGAUUUUUGCCGGUCAGAUAGUAAGCAUGGGAUUUUUGGCGGUUAGACGGAGGUGUAAAGGAUUUCACCGGUCAUAUAAAAAAGGGAAUUUUUUGGUCAGACAGAGGAGGAGGGAUUCAGUCGAUAUGUUAAUAAUAAUUUUUUUUGCCGAUAUGCUAUUUGGCUCGACCUUCUUUGUGGACGACGAUUUUAACGAUGGCACUUUCAUUAGUACAUGUAUAUGUUUAAUAUUUAUGGUUGCCUCUUUAUAUUAAUUUUAUAGCUCUGUUUACUAUAUUUAUAAUAAGAUAUCAACGUAAUUCAAUUAUUGAUUUACACAACAUACUCCCUAUUGCGUAACACUAGGUUACUAAUGCUAAGCGCAAUUUUGCUUUACGCCUUGCGACGUGAUUGUACCAUAACGGGAAAACACAGUGAAGCAAAAAGAAAUUUACACUUUUAUGUUUCAACCGUGUACCGAAAUAACUAACUAACUUAGCUGAAUUCUGUAGCAUUGAGUACUUAAUGACGACAAUGAAAAUUCAAAACAAACCGCAUUUCCAAUCCAGUUAAAUUCCUUUUCCUAAAUAUUUUUAAAACUACCUCAUUACUUUCUUCAAUUCUAAAAAUUCUCAACCGAGGCCGGAGGCCGAGGUUGAGCUUGUAGUAUCUAAUUAAAGCACAGCUAGUUUACUUUUGUGCGAAGCAUGUGGUAGUAAUAUACCCAAGGGGGAUAUUUAUAGAGCCGGUGAGUACGUGACGGCAGUGAUAAUUAUGUCGGUACAAAUAUUAUUGCUCAUGUACUUGCUAAAACUUAUAGUACAACAUUCAAUCAGCAGCCUUUUGAGUGCCUAAUCUUGUUGUGGUUUCAUGUAAGUAACAUUUUAUCGACGGAAAUCAGUAACGCCUGUGAAGGAUUGGUACGGAAUACAUCGCUGUACAUCGGAAGAACGUGAGAGUCUCAGAGGAUCAAUCUGCGAACUGCGAUGCAUAAAAUAUGCAUUAAAUCCUGGGGACAAUCACAAUCGACACCUGGACUCAAUCGCACAAACAUUUCUGACACCGUCUCGGAAAUCGGAAAUUUUUCCAGCAACCCAGUUUUGUUUACCCAUCCGCCAAUCUUACAACGUCGUGGAAACGUCGGUGAGGUCCGAGUUCGAGGACUGAAUUUAGACUUGAACCAUGGCUUCUUACCCGGUCUUGAAGAGCCACAGGAUGCUCGGAAGAACAGACAUUUGAAUAUUUUGUUGAACUGGCUGCGUGAGCAUCCUGAUGAUUUCCAUAACGCUGCGCCGGAAAUAAUUUGUUGGAGCUCCACCCUGAAGGAGGUUAUGCUCACAGCGGUACAUGUGAAAGCCCCAAAAGGUCAGAUGAAUAGCCAAGAUCUGCUCUAUGUACUGCAGACCCGAGUGCUGAAAAAAUCGAGUGAUGAUAGCCGCUGGCAUUGGGUGGAUCAUUGCGGUUUGCAAGAUCGACAGAGUGCUGUACAUGGCACUAGACGGCUACACAUAUCCGGAACAAUACCAUGAGCGGCUGCUGUCGGAGGAGGAAUUGGCUGCUUUGGAGUUCAAAGAGGAGUUAAUGACGUACCGCGGGAGGAAGUUUGAACAGUACAUGACACAUCCAGUGGAGAUGGAGACAACCCUGGACAGUCCACUGGAAAAUAGGCGCCACUUCUGCUCAUUUCUGGCGCGCCGCAUAAACGGCAUCAACGUGAUAUUUGGAGCAGAAAUAGACUGUCAGGAUCCGAAUGCUUCUGGUACGCCUGCGCCCGGAAAAUACGUUGAAAUAAAGACGACAAAGCUACGGAACUCAAGCAGAAAAUGGAAAUACAACCAGUACAAGUUGUCCCGAUACUGGGCCCAGGCAUGUAUUGCUGGAGUGAGCAAGGUUAUCAUUGGUCUUUGGAAUCCAAAAGGGACAUGCGUGAAAAUAGACGAGUUUGACACUGCGGAGAUUCCCGAUAAGGCCAAAACCAACCCGAAAACCAUGGCAACGUGGAGUGCAGAGGGAUGCAUAGACUUCCUGGAGCGGUUUCUGAAACGUGUAAAAGAGAUCGUAAUAGAGGACCAUACACAAGGAAUUUACAAGUUUCAAUGGAGUGCGGAUAAGAAGGACGAGAUCACAGUAGACUUCCAUCCCGGUCCCUACCAUGAUUUUAUCCAGAAUGUCCUUCGUUCGCUGCGACGACCACAAUGAUCCAACAGCAAAGCGGGAACAGGAAGGAAAACAUACUUCUGUAUCAAUAAUUGCUCUCACGAGUAGCGCCUUCAUCAAGCACGCAGUCAGUACAGACAAAACCACCCAAUCACGGGACGCAAAUGCCACACUGGAGACGGAAUGCCCUGUCUUCCCCACCAACAGGGCUCCAGCCAUGUUUUCCACCUCAGCAAUUCCGGCAUUUCGCAGUGAUCCUCUUCCUCCGUGGAAAUGCCCCGAUAUCCCCGGCUGCUCGAUCCACUGCUCCUAUAUCCACGGCUUCUUUGUGCUGGAAAAGGGAGACAGCACCUACCUGAACGUGCAGUGUUUCGGCAACCGUUCCACAACAAUUCCCGUAUUCACCCAGCUCCUCCGCAACCACAGUGACCGCGCCUUGACGGUCAUGUUAGCCGAUCUCAGCCACCGCAUGGACGCUCUGCACCCGGAUGUCCUGCAGCCCAUCAAGCGCAACCUAAUCGACCUGGAGAUCAACUAUUGCGGUGUCUCCGCCACCAGGCGUUUGUACGACGCCGGGGUGUUAUCCAAUCUGAUCAGCUUGAAAUUCGCCGUGGGGCUGGAUCUGCGUAUCGGGGAACGGGACUUCUCCCGGCUCCCGCAGAUCCGCCGGAUCGUUUCUCGGAAUUGACCAUUGCGUCCAUAGAACCCUACACCUUCACCAAUCUGCCGCACCUUCGUACACUGAAUCUGGAGGAAGAUCUGGAUCACGUGGAAUACGAAAUAGAAAGGGAGGAGUUCGCGAAGGACAAGUACGGGACGCUUCCGCAACGAGGGAAGUUAAUGCAGCAGGUGUAUGAACGGCGCUGCAACUGCUCGUACGCGUGGUUGCGGAACUUGUUCAGACGGAAACCGGAUCUGGUGGGUGUGCGCCGAGAAGGAGAGAUCGCUGUCAUUGGCAACUAUCUUACUCUGCUCUCCGCUGGCAGCGUUUUAGUGGUGGACUGCGCAGUGAGAAAUUUCACAACUCUGGAGGAAAUACGCACUGGUUGGACAGGGUUGUCCGUACCGCCCGGCGUGUUCUCUGUAAACACUUCCUGUUGGAACGUAACCUGUUGAAUCACAGAACUUGAUGUCAUUUAUACCGGGUGUUUUUCCGAAACUUUGAUUAUUCUCUGCGGUGCCUUUGCCUAAAUUAACCAUUUAAUUUAAUACUGUCCUGGGUUGCCCAGCUGCGUGAGAUAAUUUUUAGGAAAUAAGUAUUUGUUAUGCACCCACCGCUAUAUCAAACUGCAUACACCUGUUUGAAGUCAACAAAUUCUCCAAGAAAAAAAACAGUUGCAA